rnacentral:rRNA from 1 species
AGAGUUGUAUCCUGGCUCAGAACGAACGCUGGCGGCAGGCCUAAUACAUGCAAGUCGAGCGCGCCCUUCGGGGUGAGCGGCGGACGGGUUAGUAACGCGUGGGAACGUGCCCUUCUCUAAGGAAUAGCCACUGGAAACGGUGAGUAAUACCUUAUACGCCCCCCAAUCAAAUUCCAUUUGGUUGACGGAAAUUCUGUUGAAUGCCGGAUGGCAUUUGAUGGGGGGGAAAGAUUUAUCGGAGAAGGAUCGGCCCGCGUUAGAUUAGAUAGUUGGUGGGGUAAUGGCCUACCAAGUCUACGAUCUAUAGCUGGUUUUAGAGGAUGAUCAGCAACACUGGGACUGAGACACGGCCCAGACUCCUACGGGAGGCAGCAGUAGGGAAUCUUGGACAAUGGGCGCAAGCCU